UUGACCUCAAAUCGGGUGAGACUACCCGCUGAACUUAAGCAUAUCAAUARCCCGGAAGAA
rnacentral:rRNA from 1 species